UUGAUUUAAUCUAAUCUGAUAAUUUGAUCUGUUUUUAUCUAUCUAAUCGUUUAUUUAUUUUAUCUCUCUUAUCUAUCUAUCCUUCUUAAAGAACAAGCGUGUCUGGCCAAAAAAGGACCUGGCAGCAAGUACAAGAACAUUUUGCAGGCUGCAUUGAAAAAAAAGGCUCAUAUAUCUGGCACGGGGGGUGGUCCUCCAACCCAAGACUUGACCACAACAGAGGAGCUGGCCCUGGAGUUGAAUAAAGGGAAGCCAGUGAUGGAAGGGACACAGUGAGGGACAGCCACUGACUCUGGCCCAGCAAGAGAGACUGGCCUCUUCAUACAAGUGUCUGGUAACACACUUACACUUCUGGAGCCACCAGACUAUGAUCCGCUGGUGACUUCUCUUUAUUAAAAUCAUAGGCUUGGCACGUCCUGUCAAAACUAUCAAUACAAGUUCUAUUGAAUAUGGCAGAGGGAAGGCACAUCUGCCGAUGAUGAGAUCGUGUCACUGGACUCCAGAAGGCUUGAGGUGUCAUGUCAAUUUUGUGUAAAGAAGAUAUUUUGAAGAUUGCUUGUAAUCAAACAGUUGGUGGCUCCUACUGACUUCCAUAGUAUUUUUAUUUCCUCUUUUAUGUUCAACAUAAGAAAGCAAUUCAUACAGGUUUGGAUAGAACUUCAAAAGAAGAAUCAGAUGGUCCAGAACAUAUAAAGGUAUUUUGUUGUUUACUAAAAGAUUAGAACCAUUUUCAAAAUUUAUUUUAUUAUCCCUUUAUUCGAGUUGAAAGAGACUAACAAAUGGAACAUUUAUUUAGAAUAAG
ensembl:lncRNA